UGCAUCUGAGGCCAGUGAGGAUGAGAACCUCCGGGGGCAGGAGGUUCGACUCGAGCGAAGCGAGAGAACGUUGCGUCAGCAACGGCCCGCAGGGCGAGCC
rnacentral:sRNA from 1 species